rnacentral:lncRNA from 1 species
GGCAAGUAACUCCUGGGUGGGAAUGAACUUCCGGGAUGUAAUGUACAUCGGUUCAUAAUGUUUGUGUGCCUUUCUAGAAUAACACAAUCCACAACAUAACAGGCCUAUGAAGGCUCCAUCAGCUCAGUAAAACAAAGAGUGAUAUAAAGACUGACACUGACUGUCCAUAAAAUCGCAUACAUUUAUGGACGAGGCUUCAUUCCAAGUCGUUGGUGUUGUGAUUGCUGUAGUGUCCAGUUUUAUCAAUGGAUCCAGGUGGGACUUACCUGGCUGACUGUGUGUGUGAUUGUAGGACAAAUAGGAAAUUUUCUGGCAUACAAUGUUGCCCCCGCAGUUGUGGUCACUCCCCUUGGUGUCUUAUUUGGGUGAAUUUCUACGUUAUAUUAUAUUAUAUUCAAGGUGUUCUACACAUUUAUUUGAUGCAGUGGUCUGAGCAAUCUCAAAAUAAUUAUUACAGCAACAACAACAUUUGACAUUUAUGUCACAUUUAUAUUAGCAUAUCAGGACAGCUUUACUGUGAAUUGAAGUGAUUUAUGUGAUUUUGUUUUUUCAUCAUUAAUCAGGGCUGUUCUGGCAUCAUGGCUUCUUCAGGAACAUCUCAAUCUCAUUGGCAAACUUGGCUGCUCUUUGUGCUGUUGUGGUUCGGUUGUGCACAUCAUUCACUCACUCAAGUCUGAAAAAAUGUCACAUCAAGAGCAGAACUAGAGGAGAGACUGAUGGACCCAUGAAA